GAGAGGCUUUGCUUCACAAACCCCUGGGACAGCUGAUCCUCGUGCUCAAGCAGGACUCUCAGAAGCAGCAAGCUGGAACAGCAGGAGACUGCCUCAAGGAUCUGACAGGAGGAAUUGAGUGUGCUGCCAGGAUAUUAAAUGAAAUUCCCCAGAAAGACAUUCAGUGCAGUAAAAGAGCCUCAAAGGCAAAAAGGGAAGGAAAUGGGCAAGCUCUCUGCUAAAGAUUUCCCUGGAGGAGAACCAUGAACAUGGGAGUGUACUAGAAGUGAUGAAAAGUCCCUUAAGCUUGUGCUCCAGGACAGAACAGGACAAUGAGGGACACCUGGGGUGA